AUGGGUGCAGAUAGAGGAAAGCAACUGCAAACUUGCCAGAUAUCAGCAGGCCUCAGAAGCUGCCCUUCUGAAGCUGGAGGUCAUUUCCCGGUGAAAAAAGUACAAAAGCAACCCCUAGUAUUCCCUCGGCCUCCUUGCACCACCCAGGCCAAGGUACUGUCUUUUCUCAGUAGCCUUCCCCAGGUCAAUAGGGUAUUAGGAGACUGAAAGUUUUGGUUUUAAUUUAAUGCAGCCCUUGAAGUAAGGGUGGCUGCUCAGAGCGCUGUGCAUUGCACUCAGACAGCAGAAGUCUUACAGGAAUUCAUUUUGACCAAAAAAAGGGUUUGGGCUGAAAUAUGUUUCAUUUGUCAUGUCUGUGGCCUUCUGUUCUUCAUACAACAUCAGAAUGAGAAAUCAUCCCUUUGAACUGUGUUAUUUUGCAUGAAAGGAAAAUUCUGUCCGGCCUUAGGUUUCCUUGCUUGCUUGCAGACACUGCCUUGUGUCUGCAGUGAGGGUUGCAGGACCACCUCUGCAGCAUGCCUUGUGUGCCCUCUAGCUGCUGCAGGCUGUCUGGAGAACUGAAAUAUCUCAGUUUUACAUAAACCUCACUUGCUGCAUUUUGUUUUUGGACCCAGCAGGCAGGUUUUGAAAACAAAUUCUUGGACAAUUGCAGUUAAGGGCACAGUAGAGAGCAAGUGGCUGAUUAUAGUCACUACUGCCUUGUUUGCACUGCUACUGCUGUGAUGAUUCAAUAGAAAAAGAACUUGUGCUUGCUGCUCAGGCAGGGAAUUUGUUGCUUUAAAAGGUAUGUGCUUAGAGUUUACACGUUCAGCUGAAGCAGGGGGGAGCAAUGUGUCAGCUAUGACACAUUCUGUGAAGUAUAGAGAGACGAGGGGUUAGAAAUGCUCUGUGUGGCAGGGAGCAGUGGCUUAGGGGUUUUUGGCUCAGGUUUUUGUUUCUCUGUGGACAGCAAAUAGCUACCAGCCUGCAGGCACAGUUAGCUGGGGAGCUGCUAGCUCUGACUGCUUUAUGCUUUUGUCUGUCCCAAAGGAGAUUCAGCACCAAAAUACCACUGUAGCCUCUAAGAUAUAAGCACUGGACAGCUGCAUUGCUGUGACAGAGAAGAGCAGUCACACACCAUGGGGUAUUGCAGGAUAUUGCAGGACCAACGCAUUUUGUUGUCUUGUUUUAAUCAGUCUUUUUGUGUGGUUUCUUUUCUUGAAGGCAA
rnacentral:lncRNA from 1 species